rnacentral:rRNA from 1 species
GAUGAACGCUGGCGGCGUGCCUAAUACAUGCAAGUCGAGCGAACAGAUAAGGAGCUUGCUCCUUUGACGUUAGCGGCGGACGGGAGAGUAACACGUGGGUAACCUACCUAUAAGACUGGAAUAACUCCGGGAAACCGGGGCUAAUGCCGGAUAACAUUUAGAACCGCAUGGUUCUAAAGUGAAAGAUGGUUUUGCUAUCACUUAUAGAUGGACCCGCACCGUAUUAGCUAGUUGGUAAGGUAACGGCUUACCAAGGCAACGAUACGUAGCCGACCUGAGAGGGUGAUCGGCCACACUGGAACUGAGACACGGUCCAGACUCCUACGGGAGGCAGCAGUGGGGAAUCUUCCGCAAUGGGCGAAAGCCUGACGGAGCAACGCCGCGUGAGUGAUGAAGGUCUUCGGAUCGUAAAACUCUGUUAUUAGGGAAGAACAAAUGUGUAAGUAACUGUGCACGUCUUGACGGUACCUAAUCAGAAAGCCACGGCUAACUACGUG